CCUAAUAUAUCAAAAAUAUAUCCUGUAUUUUGUACAAGAAAAAUUCUCAAUAAGUAUCCUGUAUUUUAGGCUUAGUGCUAAGGUGAGGUGCAAUUUAAAUGUUUUCAUAAUGUCAAAACUAACCUCCAUCAUAAUUUUCAAACCAUUUUACCCUUUUCUCUUAUUUUUUCCCUUUUCCCCUUUCUCUUCAAUCUAGGUUGAAGAAGGAUCAAGAGAAGUGGUAAGUGCAGCCCUUCGUUCCGAAUUCAGUGUUCAUAGGUGGUAAGCGUAGCCUUUGAUUCCGACCUCCACGGUAAUUUUUUGACCUCCUGCUCUUGCUCGCGUAGGUGGUAAACUUCGAUCAACUCCAACUUGAAGGAACAUAGAGGAGAGGAGAGGAGACUGUUCACGCGCAGGUUGAAUGAACGUCAAAGAAGGUGGUCGUCCGUUAUGAGAGAGCGCAAGGUCCAAUUCUGAGAAUUGAUGAGGGCGAGGAGCUUGCCGACUUUUGGGAUUCUCUAGCUAGUGCUCCGGUUCUUAGUGAUGAUCUUGACAAAGUGGCCGGAAAACUCGAUUUUUCUGCCGGUAAGGAUCAGGUUGCAGCGGCAAUUCGUCUUGGGGUUGGUGGGAAGAAGGUGGAUGAAUAUGAUUUGGACUAUGAGAUUUUCCAGAAAGCGCUUUCGGGUGGUGUGGUUAUACAGAGAAAAAGAACCUAAUUUUUCAGGUUGAAAAAGUCCCUUUCCCUAAUUUUCUUCCUCUUCUUUUCAUUUGAUUUGUUUGGAGGGGCAAGGUGGCUGUUUAUGAAGUAUAUAUGUAGGAAAAUAAAUGGAUGCGCAGCAAGAAAUGGAUGGGGAUUGGAACAUUGUCUAGGAAGAAAUGGAUGUCCAGCAAUAAAUGUCUCUGCUUUUCGUCUGAUCAGUUCUGGCCAUUGGUACGUUGCCCAGCAAGAAAUGAAUGGGGAUUGGGAAAUUUUGAUUUUUUGACAAAUGGUUAUGAAGUAUAUAUGGAAAGAAAGUGUGAAUUAAGGCUCUCCAUCACUUCGUAACGGUCUCACCUGUGUCUCUGUAAUUCGAUCAGUUUGUUUACUCA